AAGGAAGGGGCCCCUUCCUUGUAAAGUAGCGGGACUAUUUUCGGUGAAUUGUGCCUUUGUUGUUUAGCGCCAAGUGAAUCUUUUUGCUUUCAUCUUCUGGACGUUAUCUUUCUUCCAUUAAAGACUAGAGAAACUUUCUUUGACAAUUCUACAGGCCGGGGCAAUGACAUGUUAAUAUAGGUAAUGGACGUAACCUGUUUGAUGAAAUUAACAAGAGAGUUAUUCGAAUUUAUAUCUCCAUUUUGUUGCUUGAGAAGUCGAACAAGUUGAAGAUCGUACGAUGAGGAAUUUUUCUGACGGUGAUUCAUGUUAAGUGUGAUUCAAUUCUAUGGCUUUUGAGGGAGAGAAUGGAUUGGAGAUGGGUUGUGCUUGCGGUGGAUUUGAGAUGGUGGGAUGACAACAACAAGGAGAAGGGGGGCUGCUCUUGUUGUGGUGUAUGAUAAGAGAGGGUGUGGUCAUGUGGUGAAGGAUAGGGGGUAGGGGGUUUGCUGGCAGAAGCGUAUCUGUUUGGAGCUUGUUGUUGCACUAAAUUCACAAAUACAUCCAUGUACGGAUCGUAAAAAGAGUUUAAACAUUUUUUUUUAACUAUAUAGCUAACGAUACCGGAAAAUAGUUAAAGAUCGCGAAGAUGAGUUUUCAUUAUGUAUGUUUAACCCUUUAUAAUAUAUGUAGAAACAUUUUUUACGAUCUCCAAAAAUUAACAUGAUAUAAAUAAUUUGUUUAGAUAGUAACUUCGAAAAUUAUUAUGUAGUGC